UUUCCGUAGGUGAACCUGCGGAAGGAUCAUUACCGAGUUAGGGUUUCCCCUCCAGGAGCCCGACCUCCCAACCCUUUGUCUAAAUUACCUCUGUUGCUUCGGCGGACCGGUUGACCAACCGGUCUCGACCGCCGGGGGGGCUUCACCCCCUGGAGAGCGUCCGCCGACGGCCCAACCACAAAACUCUUGUACCAAACCACGUCGUCUGAAUGUACUUGAUUAAGAAUCAAAAAAAAAACUAAAACUUUCAACAACGGAUCUCUUGGUUCUG
rnacentral:misc_RNA from 1 species